GAAAUGCGAUAAGUAAUGUGAAUUGCAGAAUUCAGUGAAUCAUCGAAUCUUUGAACGCACAUUGCGCCCUUUGGUAUUCCGAGGGGCAUGCCUGUUCGAGCGUCAUUACACCAAUCAAGCCCCGGCUUGGUAUUGGGUCCCGGGGGCGCCCGGACCUCAAAAGCCCCGGCUGGAGGACCCGUAUCUCAGCGUUGUGGAUCAUUCGAUUCGCUGACGAGAGGGGGAGCCCGGCCGUGAAACUCCACCGCAGGUUGACCUCGGAUCAGGUAGGGAUACCCGCUGAACUUAAGC
rnacentral:misc_RNA from 1 species